UUCCUUUCUUGAGUGUUGGUGUUCUUCUGAAGAGGACAAUGCCACUCUACAGAAACAGCAUGGGGGCAUGCUGUUUCUGUAGAGUGGCAUUGUCCUCUUCAGAAGAACACCAACACUCAAAAGAGGAA